UAAUGUAUGGGGGAUCGUCCCGAUAGAGGGGGAUAACUACUGGAAACGGUGGCUAAUACCGCAUAAUGUCUACGGACCAAAGCAGGGGCUCUUCGGACCUUGCACUAUCGGAUGAACCCAUAUGGGAUUAGCUAGUAGGUGGGGUAAAGGCUCACCUAGGCGACGAUCUCUAGCUGGUCUGAGAGGAUGAUCAGCCACACUGGGACUGAGACACGGCCCAG
rnacentral:rRNA from 1 species